rnacentral:lncRNA from 1 species
AAAAUAGGUAGUAGUUUUACCGUUCUUAUUGCAUGAUUUGGAUUAUUUGUUAUUUAAAAAAUAUUGAAUCCAUGUCACCUGUUAAAAUGUGUUCGUAAAUUUUUUUGAAAUAAAAUUCUAAUGUGGUAUGUUGAGAGUGGCAUGGAGCUGCUAUCUCUUUCUACUUGUUAAGUAUUUUACUUAUUUUUAUUUUUUGUUAUCUUAAUUAUUAUUUUUAGUUUUGUAAUUAUUUUUUUA